rnacentral:lncRNA from 1 species
CUUUUCUCUCUCCCUCUUCCUCGACAGAACAUUUCCCCUCCCCCCAUUUUUUUUGUUGUUUUUUUUUCUUCCUUCCCUUCUCUUUGAUUCUUUUCUCUUUAAUACCCAAACCAUCAACCAUUAACAAAUGAACUUAACAUCCUCACAACCAUUGAAAAAUGCUCUUGGUUAGGAUUUUUGAGUUAGGGUUUGUGCUCUAGAGAAAAGGGUAUCCAUCUCAUGAGAUUUGAUGACUGAAACUCUUUGAGGUAAGUACACAACUCUAAUCCUAGUAUGAAUUCAUAAAAAAAUGUAGUUUUGUUUAAAAAUCUUAUUUUUGUGCUUAUGGUAUAUUUAAACGAUUUUUAGGGUUUCCUAGAGUUAGCUAAACUUUAGAAUAAAUUUUUCUAAAGUAUUGGAAAUAUUUUUGAUACUCAGAUGUGUCAACUGAGACCUUGUCGGCUACUCUGAGAGUUGUUAGAGAGCAAACUUAGACGAUUCUCCAUAACU